GGCGAGAUGGCUUAGUGGUUAAGAGCACCCGACUGCUCUUCUGAAGGUCCAGAGUUCAAAUCCCAGCAACCACA
rnacentral:tRNA from 1 species